rnacentral:rRNA from 1 species
AUUGAACGCUGGCGGCAGGCCUAACACAUGCAAGUCGAACGAGUGGCGGACGGGUGAGUAAUGUCUGGGAAACUGCCCGAUGGAGGGGGAUAACUACUGGAAACGGUAGCUAAUACCGCAUACCAUCGGAUGUACCCAGAUGGGAUUAGCUAGUAGGUGGGGUAACGGCUCACCUAGGCGACGAUCCCUAGCUGGUCUUAGAGGAUGACCAGCAACACUGGAACUGAGACACGGUCCAGACGCCUACGGGAGGCAGCAGUGGGGAAUAUUGCACAAUGGGCGCAAGCCUGAUGCAGCCAUGCCGCGUGUAUGAAGAAGGCCUUAGGGUUGUAAAGUACUUUCAGCGGGGAGGCGUUACUCGCAGAAGAAGCACCGGCUAACUCCGUGCCAGCAGCCGCGGUAAUUC